CGUAGUUGACUCCGUGGCUACGAGGACGAACGCUGGCGGCGUGCCUAACACAUGCAAGUCGAGCGAGAAUCUUAUAACGGAUCCCUUCGGGGUGAAGAUAUAAGAGGAAAGCGGCGGACGGGUGAGUAACGCGUGAGUAACCUGCCUUCAGGAGGGGGACAACAGUUGGAAACGACUGCUAAUACCGCAUAUGCUCACAGUACCACAUGGUACAGUGAGGAAAGGAGCAAUCCGCUAAUAGAUGGGCUCGCGUCUGAUUAGCUAGUUGGUGGGGUAACGGCCUACCAAGGCGACGAUCAGUAGCCGGACUGAGAGGUUGAACGGCCACAUUGGGACUGAGACACGGCCCAGACUCCUACGGGAGGCAGCAGUGGGGGAUAUUGCACAAUGGGGGAAACCCUGAUGCAGCAACGCCGCGUGAAGGAAGAAGGUCUUCGGAUUGUAAACUUCUGUUCUUGGUGACGAAUUUUGACGGUAGCCAAGGAGAAAGCCACGGCUAACUACGUG
rnacentral:rRNA from 1 species